CCUGACGGUGCAACGCCGCGUGAGUGAGGAAGGUUUUCGGAUYGUAAAGCUCUGUUGYGGAGGAAGAACGUCCCUUUGAGGAAAUGCAGAGGGAGUGACGGUACUUCACCAGAAAGCCCCGGCUAAYUACGUGCCAGCAGCCGCGGUAAUACGUAGGGGGCAAGCGUUGUCCGGAAUGAUUGGGCGUAAAGGGCGCGCAGGCGGUUUCGUGUGUCUGAUGUGAAAGSCUCCGGCUCAMCCGGARAAGGUCAUCGGAAACUGCGGGACUUGAGUCCAGGARAGGGGAGUGGAAUUCCACGKGUAGCGGUGAAAUGCGUAGAGAUGUGGAGGAACACCAGUGGSGAAGGCGSCUCUCUGGCCUGAGACUGACGYUGAGGCGCGAAAGCGUGGGGAGCGAMCAGGAUUAGAUACCCUGGUAGUCCACSCCGUAAACGAUGAGUGCUAGGUGUUAGGGGGGCUACCCCUUAGUGCUGAAGUGAACACAAUAAGCACUCCGCCUGG
rnacentral:rRNA from 1 species